GGAAAUUGAAUAUGUGAGAAGUAUUUAAUUGGGUAGUUAAAACUAGUGUCAUCCAAUCACAAUUUACCUUGGUUGAUGAGAUUUCAGAUUUGAGCCUUAUAAACCGGAAAGGAGGAAGUAGUAAUUAAGACUUAAUUAGUAGGCUUCUAAAAGAAUAUAUUUGAUUGGACUUCUAGAAUAAGCUGGGUAGGGGGCAACUUAUUUCAGCUUAUUCUAGAAGCUACGAAAAGAACUGGCCCUUAGAUCCACAAAGCUUUGAAGCUCAUAAACAAAACAAAGAUGAAAUGAAAAAAAAUGCCAUAUCCGGCGUAGCUAAAAGCAGACUACGAUGCAUAUACACCUAGCCAAUUAUUAGCACGCCAUUCAAACCGGCUGAAGGUAGCCCGUGCGACCAUCUACCAUCAGUUGUAUCCAAUAUCCAUAAGCUACCUGGAGUCUGCAUGGCUGAGUAACAACCACGUACGGAUCCAAG
rnacentral:lncRNA from 1 species